rnacentral:rRNA from 1 species
UCCGNNGGGUGGCCNGUAAGUCUGUCGUUAAAGCGUGGAGCUUAACUCCAUUUAAGCGAUGGAAACUACAGGGCUAGAGUGUGGUAGGGGCAGAGGAAAUUCCCGGUGUAGCGGUGAAAUGCGUAGAUAUCGGGAAGAACACCAGUGGCGAAGGCGCUCUGCUGGGCCAUCACUGACACUCAUGGACGAAAGCCAGGGGAGCGAAAGGGAUUAGAUACCCCUGUAGUCCUGGCCGUAAACGAUGAACACUAGGUGUCGGGGGAAUCGACCCCCUCGGUGUCGUAGCCAACGCGUUAAGUGUUCCGCCUGGGGAGUACGCACGCAAGUGUGAAACUCAAAGGAAUUGACGGGGGCCCGCACAAGCGGUGGAGUAUGUGGUUUAAUUCGAUGCAACGCGAAGAACCUUACCAGGGUUUGACAUCCUGCGAAUCCCUUGGAAACGAGGGAGUGCCUUCGGGAGCGCAGAGACAGGUGGUGCAUGGCUGUCGUCAGCUCGUGUCGUGAGAUGUUGGGUUAAGUCCCGCAACGAGCGCAACCCACGUCGUUAGUUGCCAGCAUUCAGUUGGGCACUCUAGCGAGACCGCCGGUGAUAAACCGGAGGAAGGUGUGGAUGACGUCAAGUCAUCAUGCCCCUUACAUCCUGGGCUACACACGUACUACAAUGCUACGGACAAAGGGCAGCAAGCUCGCGAGAGUUAGCAAAUCCCAUAAACCGUGGCUCAGUUCAGAUCGUAGGCUGCAACUCGCCUACGUGAAGGAGGAAUCGCUAGUAAUCGCAGGUCAGCAUACUGCGGUGAAUACGUUCCCGGGCCUUGUACACACCGCCCGUCACACCAUGGAAGUUGGCCACGCCCGAAGUCGUUACUCCAACCCUUGUGGAGGAGGACGCCGAAGGUGGGGCUGAUGACUGGGGUG